rnacentral:rRNA from 1 species
GUACAUGCCUACAACAUAGCAUUAAUGCACCAGAUCCCAUUAGAACUCUACAGUUAAGAGAGCUCAGGCUAGAGUAGUACUAGGAUGGGUGACUUCCAGCAGUGUCGAUUGUCAUAUGGU